CCGAAAACGCUAGCUAGUUGCGUUUAAAACAUUACCGGAUCACUGUCGAGCGAGAUGACAUUGUGUUCUGGUAUAGUGGAAACGCGAUUAAAGAGCACUAGUGCCGAUGGUAUCGUUUGCUAGUUGAACCGUCCGCCUGUAGUGCUUGUUGCAU
rnacentral:misc_RNA from 1 species